CGGGGCGUAGCUCAGUUGGCUAGAGUGCCUGCUUUGGGAGCAGGAGGUCGCUGGUUCGAGUCCAGUCGCCCCGA
rnacentral:tRNA from 1 species